rnacentral:hammerhead_ribozyme from 1 species
GCACUGUUGAAGAAUCCCAAACAGGACGAAACAGUUGUCCAGUGC